UACGUAGGGACCAAGCGUUGUUCGGAUUUACUGGGCGUAAAGCGCACGUAGGCGGACUAUUAAGUCAGGGGUGAAAUCCCGGGGCUCAACCCCGGAACUGCCUUUGAUACUGGUAGUCUUGAGUUCGAGAGAGGUGAGUGGAAUUCCGAGUGUAGAGGUGAAAUUCGCAGAUAUUCGGAGGAACACCAGUGGCGAAGGCGACUUACUGGACACAUAUUGACGCUGAGGUGCGAAAGCGUGGGGAGCAAACAGG
rnacentral:rRNA from 1 species